AAGUUAAGUUAUAUUUAUUUACAGUUAAUAUCAUAAUGUUUGUGAACCGACCUUUAUACUUUUAGCACUUUUUAUAUGAACCUUGACUUGACACCGUUCUGAUUCUCAAUACUAAAUCUGUUUUUCAUUGACCUUUCUAACCAACAAAAUUGAAACACAUGUCAAACAUGUGUUUCAAAAAAGUUUUAUUUUUAAUUUUAAAUUUUCCAAAAAAUUUUUUUAAUUAACAUAUAUAAAAUAAAAAAUCUUUUCAAUUCAACUUUCAAAAUUAAUUAAAGAUGAUUAAAAUUAUUAUACAUAUCUAAAUAAAAUAAACAAAAUUAAACAGACGUGACAAUGUCGAAAUGCAUCUGAUGAGGACACAGAAUUCUGUGUCGAAACGCGUCACAUUUUUAUGUCAAUUCUUCAAUAAACCAAAAGCCAUUUAGGCCAAAAUGAAAAAAACAUCUUUUAAUUAAAAAAAUUAUUCCAACAAAGGAAAGAAAAUAAAAGGAUUGGGAAAAUUAGACUUCUCAAAAACAUAUACGAUUAAUUAUAAAGUAAAAGACAUUAAAGAAAGUGAUAUAACUUCUACCAUUGGCAUUUGAUUACCACAAUCGGUGGAUAGAGAGGGAGGACGAAAAGAACGUCAAUUGAGAGAAAAGGUAUCAGAAACUGGAAAUGCAACGAAUAUUUAAUAAAAAAUGCUGUUUAUUACUAUUUUUUUUAAAAAGAAAUUUUUCAACUUUUAUUUAACAUCUCUGAAAUAAAAAAAAUUAAUGAUAAAAAUAUUACAAAUUAAUGUUCAAUAAUAUUUGUAUUAAAAAUUAUUAUAACAUGUAUAUCUUAAUUAUUUUUAUUACUAUUACUAUUUUCAUUAUAAUUGUUAUUAUUAUUAUUAUUUUGUAAUAAUUUAAUAAAUUU